rnacentral:piRNA from 1 species
UGGAAUCUGCUUCAAUCAGGG